CCCUUGUGUAACCAUGUUAAGACCUCGAUCGAGGUUUUGUUAAACCCUCAAUCAAGCUAUUUCAAAUUUUACCUUAAGCACUUUAUCAAUAUUUUGAAGUGCACGAUCGGGUUGUUGAGGGCAUAAAAACUAGAGUUUUAGUUCCCCUUCUCCGAGUUUCUCUGCAACACCAUUUUGUACCCUAACAAAAUUUAGGCAAAAUUUGUAAAGCAAGCUAAUUCGCGUUGUUCGGUGAGCCCACGUAGUAUCAGGUAGUUUGGUUUAGGUAAAGGCUGACCAAGCCAAUGAUGCUUAGCUGGUUUUUUCGGAUGAUCAGCCACACUAGGACUAAGACACAACCCAGACUCCCUUGGGGAGUAGAAGUGGGGGAUAUUGGACAAUGGGCUCACGCCUAAUCCAACAAUAUCGCAUGGGUGAAGAAGGGAAUUGUCGCUUUUCAAGCUUUUUCGUCGAGUUUUGAUCAUGACAAGACUCGAGGAAGAAGCCCCAGCUAACUCUGUGCCAACAGCCGCGGUAAAUACGGGGGGGCAGUGUUAUUCGAAUGACUGGGCGUAAAGGGCACGUAGUGGUGAAAAGGGUGAAAGUGAAGUCCCGCCAAAUUACACUGGCGGGGUGCUUUCUUGACCAUGUCACUUGAGUGACAUAGGGGAGAGUGGAAUUUCAUGUGGAGGGAUCAAAUCGUAAGAUAUACGAAGGAAUGCCAAUCGCGAAGGCAAAUCUCUAGGUCCCCACUAACAUUGGGGUGCGAAAGCAUGGGGAGAAAAUAGGAUCAGAUACCCUGGUAGCCCAUGCCAUAAGCGAUGAGUGUCUAUCCUUGCUCUGCCUACCUACUAGGUAGGAUUAGAAUUAGAGGCCCAGCUCAUGCAUGAAACACUCCACUUGGGGAGUACGGUCACAAGACUAACUCCAAAGGAAUUUGACGGGGGGCCUUGCACAAGCGGCAUUUGAGCAUGUUGGUUUAAAUUUCGAUACAACGCGCAGAACCUUACCAGCCCUUGACAUAGAACAAGUGUGCAUGUCCUUAACGGGGAUGUGCGAAAAUUCAUACAGGUGUUGCAUGGUUAUCGUCAGCUCGUGCCGUGAGAUGUUUGGUUAAGUCAUAUAACGAGCGAAACCCUCAUUUUUUGAUGUUGAAACAUGCGCUAAUGGAUCAAUGUCAUCACCCCUUCUCAAGGGCAAGGGUGAGUAAGCGAACUCUCGAAGGCAAGCACAUAUUUUUGAUUGAUGACACUCCUAUGAGCAGGUGCGUGCUGCCACUCACAAGAGACUUGCCAGUGAUUAUGCUGGAGGGAAGGUGGGAUGACGUCAAGUCCGCAUGGCCUAUGGCUGGGGCCACACACGUGGCUUACAAUGGCAAUGACAAUGGGAAAGCAAGGCCGUUAAGGCGGGGAGCGAAUCCGGAAAUAUUGCCUCAGUUCAGAUUGUUCUCUAGAACUCGAGAACAUGAAAUUGGAAUCGCUAGUAAUCGCGGACCAGCAUGUCGCGGUGAAUAUGUACCUGGGCCCUAUACACACCACCCGUCACACCCUGGGAAUUGAUUUUGCCCAAAGCAUCAGACCAAUGAUACACCCCUUCUAUAAAUGUUCCAGCUAGGUGGCCCCAUAUGUUGGGGUGGUCUUUAUUGGCGCAUACCACGGGUGGGGUCUUCGACUGGGGUGAAGUCGUAACAAGGUAGCCGUAGGGGAACCUGCGGGUG
rnacentral:rRNA from 1 species